GGGUUGUGAGGUUAAGCGACUAAGCGUACACGGUGGAUGCCCUGGCAGUCAGAGGCGAUGAAGGACGUGCUAAUCUGCGAUAAGCGUCGGUAAGGUGAUAUGAACCGUUAUAACCGGCGAUUUCCGAAUGGGGAAACCCAGUGUGUUUCGACACACUAUCAUUAACUGAAUCCAUAGGUUAAUGAGGCGAACCGGGGGAACUGAAACAUCUAAGUACCCCGAGGAAAAGAAAUCAACCGAGAUUCCCCCAGUAGCGGCGAGCGAACGGGGAGGAGCCCAGAGCCUGAAUCAGUGUGUGUGUUAGUGGAAGCGUCUGGAAAGGCGCGCGAUACAGGGUGACAGCCCCGUACACAAAAAUGCACAUAUUGUGAGCUCGAUGAGUAGGGCGGGACACGUGGUAUCCUGUCUGAAUAUGGGGGGCCCAUCCUCCAAGGCUAAAUACUCCUGACUGACCGAUAGUGAACCAGUACCGUGAGGGAAAGGCGAAAAGAACCCCGGCGAGGGGAGUGAAAAAGAACCUGAAACCGUGUACGUACAAGCAGUGGGAGCACGCUUAGGCGUGUGACUGCGUACCUUUUGUAUAAUGGGUCAGCGACUUAUAUUCUGUAGCAAGGUUAACCGAAUAGGGGAGCCGAAGGGAAACCGAGUCUUAACUGGGCGUUAAGUUGCAGGGUAUAGACCCGAAACCCGGUGAUCUAGCCAUGGGCAGGUUGAAGGUUGGGUAACACUAACUGGAGGACCGAACCGACUAAUGUUGAAAAAUUAGCGGAUGACUUGUGGCUGGGGGUGAAAGGCCAAUCAAACCGGGAGAUAGCUGGUUCUCCCCGAAAGCUAUUUAGGUAGCGCCUCGUGAAUUCAUCUCCGGGGGUAGAGCACUGUUUCGGCAAGGGGGUCAUCCCGACUUACCAACCCGAUGCAAACUGCGAAUACCGGAGAAUGUUAUCACGGGAGACACACGGCGGGUGCUAACGUCCGUCGUGAAGAGGGAAACAACCCAGACCGCCAGCUAAGGUCCCAAAGUCAUGGUUAAGUGGGAAACGAUGUGGGAAGGCCCAGACAGCCAGGAUGUUGGCUUAGAAGCAGCCAUCAUUUAAAGAAAGCGUAAUAGCUCACUGGUCGAGUCGGCCUGCGCGGAAGAUGUAACGGGGCUAAACCAUGCACCGAAGCUGCGGCAGCGACGCUUAUGCGUUGUUGGGUAGGGGAGCGUUCUGUAAGCCUGCGAAGGUGUGCUGUGAGGCAUGCUGGAGGUAUCAGAAGUGCGAAUGCUGACAUAAGUAACGAUAAAGCGGGUGAAAAGCCCGCUCGCCGGAAGACCAAGGGUUCCUGUCCAACGUUAAUCGGGGCAGGGUGAGUCGACCCCUAAGGCGAGGCCGAAAGGCGUAGUCGAUGGGAAACAGGUUAAUAUUCCUGUACUUGGUAUUACUGCGAAGGGGGGACGGAGAAGGCUAUGUUGGCCGGGCGACGGUUGUCCCGGUUUAAGCGUGUAGGCUGGUUUUCCAGGCAAAUCCGGAAAAUCAAGGCUGAGGCGUGAUGACGAGGCACUACGGUGCUGAAGCAACAAAUGCCCUGCUUCCAGGAAAAGCCUCUAAGCAUCAGGUAACAUCAAAUCGUACCCCAAACCGACACAGGUGGUCAGGUAGAGAAUACCAAGGCGCUUGAGAGAACUCGGGUGAAGGAACUAGGCAAAAUGGUGCCGUAACUUCGGGAGAAGGCACGCUGAUAUGUAGGUGAAGUCCCUUGCGGAUGGAGCUGAAAUCAGUCGAAGAUACCAGCUGGCUGCAACUGUUUAUUAAAAACACAGCACUGUGCAAACACGAAAGUGGACGUAUACGGUGUGACGCCUGCCCGGUGCCGGAAGGUUAAUUGAUGGGGUCAGCGCAAGCGAAGCUCUUGAUCGAAGCCCCGGUAAACGGCGGCCGUAACUAUAACGGUCCUAAGGUAGCGAAAUUCCUUGUCGGGUAAGUUCCGACCUGCACGAAUGGCGUAAUGAUGGCCAGGCUGUCUCCACCCGAGACUCAGUGAAAUUGAACUCGCUGUGAAGAUGCAGUGUACCCGCGGCAAGACGGAAAGACCCCGUGAACCUUUACUAUAGCUUGACACUGAACAUUGAGCCUUGAUGUGUAGGAUAGGUGGGAGGCUUUGAAGUGUGGACGCCAGUCUGCAUGGAGCCGGCCUUGAAAUACCACCCUUUAAUGUUUGAUGUUCUAACGUGGACCCGUGAUCCGGGUUGCGGACAGUGUCUGGUGGGUAGUUUGACUGGGGCGGUCUCCUCCUAAAGAGUAACGGAGGAGCACGAAGGUUGGCUAAUCCUGGUCGGACAUCAGGAGGUUAGUGCAAUGGCAUAAGCCAGCUUGACUGCGAGCGUGACGGCGCGAGCAGGUGCGAAAGCAGGUCAUAGUGAUCCGGUGGUUCUGAAUGGAAGGGCCAUCGCUCAACGGAUAAAAGGUACUCCGGGGAUAACAGGCUGAUACCGCCCAAGAGUUCAUAUCGACGGCGGUGUUUGGCACCUCGAUGUCGGCUCAUCACAUCCUGGGGCUGAAGUAGGUCCCAAGGGUAUGGCUGUUCGCCAUUUAAAGUGGUACGCGAGCUGGGUUUAGAACGUCGUGAGACAGUUCGGUCCCUAUCUGCCGUGGGCGCUGGAGAACUGAGGGGGGCUGCUCCUAGUACGAGAGGACCGGAGUGGACGCAUCACUGGUGUUCGGGUUGUCAUGCCAAUGGCACUGCCCGGUAGCUAAAUGCGGAAGAGAUAAGUGCUGAAAGCAUCUAAGCACGAAACUUGCCCCGAGAUGAGUUCUCCCUGACCCUUUAAGGGUCCUGAAGGAACGUUGAAGACGACGACGUUGAUAGGCCGGGUGUGUAAGCGCAGCGAUGCGUUGAGCUAACCGGUACUAAUGAACCGUGAGGCUUAACCUUACAACGCCGAAG
rnacentral:rRNA from 1 species